CGAUUCAGUGAAGACGAGGCAAGAUUUUUCUUCCAACAGCUAAUAUCGGGAGUCAGUUACUGCCAUUCCAUGGAAAUUUGUCACAGGGACCUGAAGCUAGAAAAUACACUCCUGGAUGGAAAUCCCACACCACGCC